CAGUAAGUAUUUUAUUUAAAAUAUUAGUUUUGGAGACUAGAGAUGACUUAUUUUCUUUACUGA
rnacentral:tRNA from 1 species